GAUGAACGCUGGCGGCGUGCCUAGUACAUGCAAGUCGAGCGAAUGGAUUAAGAGCUUGCUCUUAUGAAGUUAGCGGCGGACGGGUGAGUAACACGUGGGUAACCUGCCCAUAAGACUGGGAUAACUCCGGGAAACCGGGGCUAAUACCGGAUAACAUUUUGAACCGCAUGGUUCGAAAUUGAAAGGCGGCUUCGGCUGUCACUUAUGGAUGGACCCGCGUCGCAUUAGCUAGUUGGUGAGGUAACGGCACACCAAGGCAACGAUGCGUAGCCGACCUGAGAGGGUGAUCGGCCACAAUGGGACUGAGGAACGGCCCAGACUCCUACGGGAGGCAGCAGUAGGGAAUCUUCCGCAAUGGACGAAAGUCUGACGGAGCAACGCCGCGUGAGGGAUGAAGGCUUUCGGGUCGUAAAACUCUGUUGUUAGGGAAGAACAAGUGCUAGUUGAAUAAGCUGGCACCUUGACGGUACCUAACCAGAAAGCCACGGCUAACUACGUGCCAGCCGCCGCAGUAA
rnacentral:rRNA from 1 species